UGCUGCUCCGCAUGUGUCGUCGGCCUCGGUCGGCACCAUGCCAGCAGCACGGAUCCUUGGCUGCACCGCGGAAUCCCCCGCGCUGAUCCGACCAGUCCGCUUCGCACCACCGUGCGGACGAGCGCCAGCAAGGCGUCGGUGC
rfam:Pseudomonas sp. G5(2012) strain G5 PG5_63, whole genome shotgun sequence.